GAACGAACGCUGGCGGCAGGCUUAACACAUGCAAGUCGAACGCGUGUAGCAAUACACGAGUGGCGCACGGGUGAGUAACGCGUGGGAACGCGCCCUUUAGUUUGGAAUAACACCGGGAAACUGGUGCUAAUGCCAAAUACGCCCUUCGGGGGAAAGAUUUAUCGCCUAAAGAUGGGCCCGCGUUAGAUUAGCUUGUUGGUGGGGUAAUAGCUCACCAAGGCUACGAUCUGUAGCUGGUUUGAGAGGAUGAUCAGCCACACUGGAACUGAGACACGGUCCAGACUCCUACGGGAGGCAGCAGUGGGGAAUAUUGGACAAUGGGCGAAAGCCUGAUCCAGCCAUGCCGCGUGAGUGAUGAAGGCCUUAGGGUUGUAAAGCUCUUUUACUAGGGAAGAUGAUGACGGUACCUAGAGAAUAAGCACCGGCUAACUUCGUGCCAGCAGCCGCGGUAAUACGAAGGGUGCUAGCGUUGUUCGGAAUCACUGGGCGUAAAGCGCGCGUAGGCGGCGUCGCAAGUCAGAGGUGAAAGCCCACGGCUCAACCGUGGAAUUGCCUUUGAAACUGCGGUGCUAGAGUGUCGGAGGGGAUAGCGGAAUUGCUAAUGUAGAGGUGAAAUUCGUAGAUAUUAGCAGGAACACCGGGGGCGAAGGCGGCUAUCUGGACGACAACUGACGCUGAGGCGCGAAAGCGUGGGGAUCAAACAGGAUUAGAUACCCUGGUAGUCCACGCCGUAAACGAUGGAUGCUAGCCGUUGGGGGGUUACCCUUCAGUGGCGCAGCUAACGCAUUAAGCAUCCCGCCUGGGGAGUACGGUCGCAAGAUUAAAACUCAAAGAAAUUGACGGGGACCCGCACAAGCGGUGGAACAUGUGGUUUAAUUCGAGGCAACGCGAAGAACCUUACCAGGCUUUGACAUGCCCUCUGUGGUUUCCAGAAAUGGAUUCCUUCACCUCGGGUGGGAGGAGCACAGGUGCUGCAUGGCUGUCGUCAGCUCGUGUCGUGAGAUGUUGGGUUAAGUCCCGCAACGAGCGCAACCCUUGUCAUUAGUUGCUACAUUUAGUUGGGCACUCUAAUGAGACUGCCGGUGACAAACCGGAGGAAGGUGGGGAUGACGUCAAGUCCUCAUGGCCCUUAUAGGUGGGGCUACACACGUCAUACAAUGGCUGGUACAAAGGGUUGCCAACCCGCGAGGGGGAGCUAAUCCCAUAAAGCGCGUCGUAGUCCGGAUUGUUCUCUGCAACUCGAGAGCAUGAAGUCGGAAUCGCUAGUAAUCGCGGAUCAGCAACGCCGCGGUGAAUACGU
rnacentral:rRNA from 1 species